rnacentral:sRNA from 1 species
UGGGAAGUAAAAGUCGUAACAAGGUCUCCGUUGGUGAACCAGCGGAGGGAUCAUUACCGAGUUUACAACUCCCAAACCCCUGUGAACAUACCAAUUGUUGCCUCGGCGGAUCAGCCCGCUCCCGGUAAAACGGGACGGCCCGCCAGAGGACCCCUAAACUCUGUUUCUAUAUGUAACUUCUGAGUAAAACCAUAAAUAAAUCAAAACUUUCAACAACGGAUCUCUUGGUUCUGGCAUCGAUGAAGAACGCAGCAAAAUGCGAUAAGUAAUGUGAAUUGCAGAAUUCAGUGAAUCAUCGAAUCUUUGAACGCACAUUGCGCCCGCCAGUAUUCUGGCGGGCAUGCCUGUUCGAGCGUCAUUUCAACCCUCAAGCCCAGCUUGGUGUUGGGACUCGCGAGUUAAACCGCGUUCCCCAAAUUGAUUGGCGGUCACGUCGAGCUUCCAUAGCGUAGUAGUAAAACCCUCGUUACUGGUAAUCGUCGCGGCCACGCCGUUAAACCCCAACUUCUGAAUGUUGACCUCGGAUCAGGUAGGAAUACCCGCUGAACUUAAGCAUAUCAAUAAGCGGAGGAAA